UAGNNNNNNCUUCGGCAAUGGACGGAAGUCUGACCGAGCAACGCCGCGUGAGUGAANAAAGUUUUCGGAUCGUAAAGCUCUGUUGUAAGAGAAGAACGAGUGUGAGAGUGGAAAGUUCACACUGUGACGGUAUCUUACCAGAAAGGGACGGCUAACUACGUGCCAGCAGCCGCGGUAAUACGUAGGUCCCGAGCGUUGUCCGGAUUUAUUGGGCGUAAAGCGAGCGCAGGCGGUUAGAUAAGUCUGAAGUUAAAGGCUGUGGCUUAACCAUAGUACGCUUUGGAAACUGUUUAACUUGAGUGCAAGAGGGGAGAGUGGAACUCCAUGUGUAGCGGUGAAAUGCGUAGAUAUAUGGAGGAACACCGGUGGCGAAAGCGGCUCUCUGGCUUGUAACUGACGCUGAGGCUCGAAAGCGUGGGGAGCAAACAGGAUUAGAUACCCUGGUAGUCCACGCCGUAAACGAUGAGUGCUAGGUGUUAGACCCUUUCCGGGGUUUAGUGCCGCAGCUAACGCAUUAANCANUCCGCCUGGGGAGNANNACCGCANGGNUGA
rnacentral:rRNA from 1 species